rnacentral:rRNA from 1 species
UUGCGUAGGUGGUUUAAUAAGCGAAUAGUGAAAUCUGGUGGCUCAACCAUUCAGACUAUUAUUCGAACUGUUGAACUCGAGAGCAGAAGAGGUAGCUGGAAUUUCUAGUGUAGGAGUGAAAUCCGUAGAUAUUAGAAGGAACAUCGAUGGCGUAGGCAGGCUACUGGGCUGUUUCUUGACACUGAGGCACGAAAGCUGGGGAGCGAACC